UCGGUGAAUUUGGUGGACCCGUCGUCAAGGCUGAAGAAGAUCUGGCCGUCCUCUUCACACUGCAGGACGGGCCAUAGAGACAACAGUCAGUGUGCCUGUAGACAUAAGAGAGAUGGGGAGGUCAAAGAGAGAAGAAGCCCAGAGGCAAGAUAAAGCUCACUUACUGGUUGGCUGUGUGGUUGCAGCGACUGAGGAGCCUUACCCGUCCACCUGGCCUUGUUGGUGGAUCAUCCGAUGGGACUCUUCUCGCGUUAUCC